rnacentral:rRNA from 1 species
ACCCGCUGAAUUUAAGCAUAUCAAUAAGCAGAGGAAAAGAAACUAACAAGGAUUCCCUCAGUAACGGCGAGCGAAGUGGGAAGAGCUCGAGCCUAAAAUCUCUGGCAGUUGAUCCAGCGAAUUGUGGCUGGGAGAGGCAGCUGGACCCUGUCCGGUGCUGUCGAAGUUGACCUGGAAAGGCACGUCAGAGAGGGUGACAGCCCCCAGGGCCGCUACUGUCUUCAGAGAGUCGGGUUGUUUGGGAAUGCAGCCCAAAGUGGGUGGUAAACUCCAUCUAAAGCUAAAUACAGGCAUGAGACCGAUAGCGAACAAGUACCGUGAGGGAAAGGUGAAAAGUACUUUGAAAAGAGAGUCAAAAAGACCGCGAAACCGUUAGGAGGGAAACGAAUGCAGCCAAAGUGGCUCUCAUUCAGGCUCAGGAGUUGUUGGCGUGCAGUGCCGGGUUGCUGGACGCCGAAGGGUGCGGCAGCCAGGAUACAGCUGCCGACCACUCUGCAUUCCUGAUGAGGUCGGCCAACAGCAGUUACCCCUGACUCAGGAGGGCUGGUGGGUAGGUAGCUUCUUGGUUUACCAGGAAGAACUUAUAGCCAUCGGCCUGGCAGUUGGGGGUGACUGAGGAGAGCUGUGACUUUUCACACCAGCAGUGCAGGCUCCCUAGGGGCCGGGUCGCUUCUGUCCGUGUGGGCAAUGCUUCCGGGACUGCGUGCAGUGUCGGAGGACUGUGUGUGCUCGGGUGGGAGGUCGGCCCGCCUUGCACUGAAGUUGUUGGUACCUGGAUGGGUUCAUUCGACCGUCUUGAAACACGGACCAAGGAGUGCAACAUGCGUGCGAGUCUUGGGGUGGAAAACCUGUUGGCGCAAUGAAAGUGAAGGUAGGCAUUGGUCUACCGAGGCAAGAGCUGCCUUAGGGUGGCACAUUGUCGACCGAUCCCGGGCUACGCUGUAGUGGGAUUUGAGUGAGAGCGUGCCUGUUGCGACCCGAAAGAUGGUGAACUAUGCCUGAAUAGGGCGAAGCCAGAGGAAACUCUGGUGGAAGCUCGUAGCGAUUC